rnacentral:rRNA from 1 species
GACGAACGCUGGCGGCGGGCUUAACACAUGCAAGUCGAACGGAAAGGCCCUGCUUUUGUGGGGUGCUCGAGUGGCGAACGGGUGAGUAACACGUGAGUAACCUGCCCUUGACUUUGGGAUAACUUCAGGAAACUGGGGCUAAUACCGGAUAGGAGCUCCUGCUGCAUGGUGGGGGUUGGAAAGUUUCGGCGGUUGGGGAUGGACUCGCGGCUUAUCAGCUUGUUGGUGGGGUAGUGGCUUACCAAGGCUUUGACGGGUAGCCGGCCUGAGAGGGUGACCGGCCACAUUGGGACUGAGAUACGGACCAGACUCCUACGGGAGGCAGCAGUCGGGAAUAUUGCACAAUGGGCGGACGCCUGAUGCAGCAACGCCGCGUGCGGGAUGACGGCCUUCGGGUUGUAAACCGCUUUCGCCUGUGACGAAGCGUGAGUGACGGUAAUGGGUAAAGAAGCACCGGCUAACUACGUG